CUGAGUGCACAGCAUGUAACGGCCCAGCCCCAGCCUCCCUCUUCCUGAUCCUAGAUGGAUGUGGCUGCCCUGACCUGCCUUCCCACACUGUCCCUGGGCAACAAAGCUACAGUCAGUGACAAUGACUUAUCCUGAGCCAGCGUAUGUCUGUCAAACUCGGUGGGAAAGAAAACAGAGGACUCUCGAUUUAGAAAAGUGAAUACAACGUCAUUUGUGAUAUUGACAGCCAAUCUGGAUUUUGCACAAACAACAGGCAAAGUGAACAUCUGAGAACUACUGUACUGUAAUGCCUUUGACACUCAGAAAUCACAGUGUCAUAUACUCAGUGACAGCAGUUCCUGAGGGGAUCCAGGAUGGAGAGAACAGUACUCCGGUGGCUUAGACUCUCAUGGUGCUGAAAGGACAGCUCUAAGAUAACGUAUAGGGAACAACUGAGCAUGCUCACAACUGCAGAAUAGACUGUCCCACUAGGGAGGCUCCAGCCCUGACUGAACAAAGGGUAGACAACAAUAAAUCAGUAUCGACAGGCAGCUGGAGAUGUACAUCUGGGAAUUGAGAUCCAACACAUGACUUAAAGGAAAUGUGAGGACAAGUAUACAUGAUUGCCAAGCAUUGUAGCGUUAGUAGAAUGUCUCAUUUGUA